rnacentral:rRNA from 1 species
AGUCGAGCGAAUCAAGGGAGCUUGCUCCCUGAGAUUAGCGGCGGACGGCGUGUAACACGUGGGUAACCUGCCUGUAAGAUUGGGAUAACUCCCUGAAACCGGAGCUAAUACCGGAUAACAUUUCGAACCGCAUGGUUCGAAAUUGAAAGGUGGCUUUUGCUACCACUUCCAGAUGGACCCGCGGCGCAUUAGCUAGUUGGUGAGGUAACGGCUCACCAAGGCGACGAUGCGUAGCCGACCUGAGAGGGUGAUCGGCCACACUGGGACUGAGACACGGCCCACACUCCUACGGGAGGCAGCAGUAGGGAAUCUUCCGCAAUGGACGAAAGUCUGACGGAGCAACGCCGCGUGAACGAUGAAGGCCUUCGGGUCGUAAAGUUCUGUUGUUAGGGAAGAACAAGUACCAGAGUAACUGCUGGUACCUUGACGGUACCUAACCAGAAAGCCACGGCUAACUACGUGCCAGCAGCCGCGGUAAUACGUAGGUGGCAAGCGUUGUCCGGAAUUAUUGGGCGUAAAGCGCGCGCAGGCGGUUUCUUAAGUCUGAUGUGAAAGCCCACGGCUCAACCGUGGAGGGUCAUUGGAAACUGGGGAACUUGAGUGCAGAAGAGGAGAGC